rnacentral:rRNA from 1 species
CAAGUCGGACGAGAUUUUCCGUUGUAGCAAUACGAUGGAAAGUCUAGUGGCGAACGGGUGCUUAACACGUGGGCAACCUGCCGAGAAGUGGGGGAUAGCUCGCCGAAAGGCGAAUUAAUACCGCAUGUGAUCAGAGAGGACAUCCUUUCGAAAUUAAAGGUGGCGCAAGCUACCGCUUCUUGUGGGGCCCGCGGCCUAUCAGCUAGUUGGUGAGGUAACGGCUCACCAAGGCUUUGACGGGUAGCUGGUCUGAGAGGACGACCAGCCACACUGGGACUGAGACACGGCCCAGACACCUACGGGUGGCAGCAGUCGAGAAUUUUUCUCAAUGGGGGAAACCCUGAAGGAGCGACGCCGCGUGGAGGAUGAAGGUCUUCGGAUUGUAAACUCCUGUCAUUGGGGAACAAUGCGCAGAUAUUAACUGUAUUUGCGUUGAUAGUACCCGAAGAGGAAGAGACGGCUAACUCUGUGCCAGCAGCCGCGGUAAUACAGAGGUCUCAAGCGUUGUUCGGAUUCAUUGGGCGUAAAGGGUGCGUAGGCGGCGCGGUAAGUCGGGUGUGAAAUCUCGGAGCUUAACUCCGAAACUGCAUUCGAUACUGCCGUGCUUGAGGACUGGAGAGGAGACUGGAAUUUACGGUGUAGCGGUGAAAUGCGUAGAUAUCGUAAGGAAGACCAGUGGCGAAGGCGGGUCUCUGGACAGUUCCUGACGCUGAGGCACGAAGGUCAGGGGAGCAAACGGGAUUAGAUACCCCGGUAGUCCUGACAGUAAACGGUGCACGUUUGGUGUGGGAAGGAUUCG